AUGCCCUCUCAUGCCGGAAGAGGUAUAGUCAAGUUUAAACUAUCAGAUCCAGAUUGUUUAUGCAAUCUUACUUUUUGUAUAGAAUGGUUUUGAUCAUCUUGAUAGCAUUGCUUCCAAGAUUUUUAUUUUGUUCCUUACCAAAAGCUAUGCAAAGUGAAUCUUUAUACUAUGUACUGGAGUUGGUAGGUGAAGAUUUAGAAAUUCAUUGAUAAAGGUGUUAUUUAGUAGGUGACCAUCAGUUAAAUAUGGAAGGAAGUAUGCCAUCGAGUUGGGAGAAAUGUUGAUGUCACACUGUUAUCAAUUUAACACUAGAUUUAGUUUUUGGCUGUCCAGAAGUUAUUCAAACAGAAAAUAAAAUAAUUUAAUUGAAAUGCUAAAUAUUUUGUUAGGGUUCUACAUGUUAACUGAUUUGAGCCAAAGAGGUGGUUGUCCUAGUCAUGCUUAUAGUUAUCUAUAGAAGAAUAUGGUAAUGGCAUUUGGAUGUUUGAAAUCUUGA
rnacentral:misc_RNA from 1 species